UGUCCGAUGGUGUAAUUGGCAACACGUCUGAUUUUGGUUCAGAAGAGUUCAGGUUCGAGCCCUGAUCGGACAACAA
rnacentral:tRNA from 1 species